AAGAUAGAGGUCGCGUGAAUCAUGAGUAGACUGCCGGAUGCGACAGGCGCAGACGAAGGCAGAGGAAAGGGAGGAACGCCGAAAGACCGGAUAACCUGCAAGUCCGUGUCUUGGGCAUAUGGUGAAGAACCAUAUGACUGUCAUCUGCAUACAGAUGAAGCGCUAUCCG
rnacentral:ncRNA from 1 species